rnacentral:lncRNA from 1 species
CAUUGUGUAAUCUCUGACUUAUAAAUCAUCUACAAGCGCUAUGCGUGUACAUAAGGCGAUAUCCAUUAUUUGCUAGGGAAAAUACACACGAAAAGCUGUGUUCGAUGUUUUCCUUAAACCCACGCGCAGAUAGAUGGGCCGUUAACUGCAAACGAAUAGCCAUUUCUCCUGCUUCAACUAUUAAUCGACGGCUGUUGCCUCGAUAAAAAUUAAGUGCACACGAAAAUUCCUAGCGUAAUUGCUGGUUGGAUGGUGAGUUGAAUAUGGGAUUGUGUAUGAAAAUGGAGUAUAACCACUGAUUUUACGAGUUACAAUUCAAUUUGUAAACACAUUGCAUGACAAAGACUGCGUUUCUAACUUUCAAUAUAUACAAUAUUAUGUUGUCCAAGAAUUAAUGGUGAAAUGUCUUCGAAGUAGCAUAAAUCUAUCUAAAAAAAUUAAUAAUUGAAAUAUGUUAAGAAUCAUUUGAAUUAACGAU